AUUGAACGCUGGCGGCAUGCUUUACACAUGCAAGUCGAACGGUAACAGGUUAAGCUGACGAGUGGCGAACGGGUGAGUAAUGCAUCGGAACGUGCCCGAUCGUGGGGGAUAACGCAGCGAAAGCUGCGCUAAUACCGCAUACGAUCUGAGGAUGAAAGCGGGGGACCGGAAGGCCUCGCGCGAUCGGAGCGGCCGAUGUCAGAUUAGGUAGUUGGUGGGGUAAAGGCUCACCAAGCCAACGAGCUGUAGCUGGUCUGAGAGGACGACCAGCCACACUGGGACUGAGACACGGCCCAGACUCCUACGGGAGGCAGCAGUGGGGAAUUUUGGACAAUGGGCGAAAGCCUGAUCCAGCAAUGCCGCGUGCAGGAAGAAGGCCUUCGGGUUGUAAACUGCUUUUGUACGGAGCGAAAAGGCUCUCUCUAAUACAGGGGGCUCAUGACGGUACCGUAAGAAUAAGCACCGGCUAACUACGUGCCAGCCGCCGCAGUAA
rnacentral:rRNA from 1 species